rnacentral:rRNA from 1 species
UCGGGUACCGUCAAGCCCCAGGGUUAUUAACCCUAAGGAUUUCUUUCCCGAUAAAAGUGCUUUACAACCCGCAGGCCUUCUUCACACACGCGGCAUUGCUGGAUCAGGCUUGCGCCCAUUGUCCAAGAUUCCC